rnacentral:rRNA from 1 species
AGUAAAUUGGUUAAGUUAGAAAGGGCGCACGGUGGAUGCCUUGGCACUAGGAGCCGAAGAAGGACGGGACUAACACCGAUAUGCUUUGGGGAGCUGUACGUAAGCGUUGAUCCAGAGAUUUCCGAAUGGGGGAACCCACUAUCUUUAGUCGGAUAGUAUCCUUACGUGAAUACAUAGCGUAAGGAAGGCAGACCCAGGGAACUGAAACAUCUAAGUACCUGGAGGAAGAGAAAGAAAAAUCGAUUUCCUGAGUAGCGGCGAGCGAAACGGAAAGAGCCCAAACCAAGAAGCUUGCUUCUUGGGGUUGUAGGACACUCUAUACGGAGUUACAAAAGAAAGUUA